rnacentral:rRNA from 1 species
CAAUAGCGUAUAUUAAAGUUGUUGCAGUUAAAAAGCUCGUAGUUGGAUUUCUGGUCGGAAGCUCCUGUCCUCUGAUGAGCGUACAAGUGCGUCCUACCAUCCUUCUGUUAACCUUUAAGGCUUUCGCGGCUUUCUAGGGGCUCAGAUAUUUUACCUUGAGAAAAUUAGAGUGUUUCAGGCAGGCUAGCGCCGGAAUACAUUAGCAUGGAAUAAUGGAAUAGGACUUUUGCCUCUUCUGUUGGUCAUGAGGCUCGAGUAAUGAUUAAUAGGGAUAGUUGGGGGCAUUAGUACUUAACUGUCAGGGGUGAAAUUCUCGGAUUUGUUAAAGACUAACUUAUGCGAAAGCAUUUGCCAAGGAUGUUUUCAUUAA